ACGACGCAGUAUUUAGUGGAGGUAAGUAAUUUUAUUGAUUUUAUCAUUGUUAAACAUUGUUCACGUCAUGUUAUUGAUUAUUUUGCAACCGGCUUUGGAACUGUUUUAUGUACAAAUUUUGGCAUUUUGGCAUAGGUGUGGUUAUAUAAAUAUAGCUAAUUAAUGUAUCUUGAAAAUAAUAUAUUUGUUGUGCAGAGUAAAGGUAAAAUUGAAAAAACAUAACCACGACGCGGAGUGUCACAAAGUAGGUUACUUGUAGUAAAACUUCAGUUGCAGAUGGGAUAAAUAACUAAUGCUCAGUGAACGCAACCGUAUUCACGGCCGCUAUAGUUCUGGUUGUAAACAUCAUUACAGGUGUACAUCUCCUUUGAGUAAACCCUUCGGCUGAAACAAUUGGUACCAACAUGAAGAGGGACGCGUAUGGGGACGAGGGUCCCGCGCAGAAGCGGCAGCGGCAUUCAGACGACGAGGUCACAUUUCUCAUACCAAGCAAGGUGGCUGGUUCAAUCAUUGGAAAAGGUGGCACCAAUAUAUCAAAACUGAGAAACCAGUACAAAGCCUCUAUAACAGUCCCAGAUUGCCCCGGCCCCGAACGGGUGUUAUCAAUAACGGCUGAAGAUGUGGACACGCUUCUUGAAAUUGUCAAAGAAAUAUUGCCAUGUUUGGCGGAAGGAGGGCCCAAGGCCAUGGGCGACCAGGACCUGGACGUGCGUCUACUAAUCCACCAGAGCCGCGCCGGCUGCGUGAUCGGCAAGGCCGGCGCCAAGAUCAAGGAACUGCGCGAGAAAACCGGCGCCCGCUUGAAGAUAUUCUCUAGUCCGGCGCCUCAGAGCAUGGAGCGCAUCGUGCAGCUGGUGGGCAAGCCCGACGCCAUCGCCGCCGGCAUCCGAGAGGUGCUCGAACUCAUACGCCAGGUGCCAAUCAAAGGUCCAAUCCAGAACUACGAUCCGCACAAUUAUGACGAUUACUACGCGGACCAAUACGGAGGGUUCGGAGCCGGGCAGGGUGGCGGCGGUGGCGGCGGCGGCGGUCGUCCUCCCCGCGGCAUGCCGCCCAUGGGCCCCGCCGGCCGGCCCCCGCCGCGCGGACCCCCGCCCGCGCGCAACGGCCCACCACCUCCGCGCACUGGCUUUAACGACUUCUCCGGCCCUGGACCACGAGCUAACUUCAGCGGCGGUCCCCCGCGCGGAGGCUUUGGUGGCGGCAGCUUCGGAGGGAACUUCGGAGGCGGUGGCGGUGGAGGCCGCAGCUCCGGUUCUGGCGGCGGAAACUUCAACGGUAGCUCGGUCAACCAGCAGGAGACCACCACACAAGUUACCAUUCCCAAAGAUUUGGCGGGCGCCAUUAUAGGCAAGGCGGGGUCUCGCAUCCGCAAGAUCCGCGCGGAGAGCGGCGCCGGCAUAGAGAUCGCGGAGCCUCUGCCCGGCUCCAGCGACCGCAUCAUCACCAUCACGGGCACGCCGCAGCGCAUACAGAUGGCGCAGUACCUCUUGCAACAAAGAAUGUUUGAAGAAUUCCCAGAUUUGGCAUCAAACAAUGCAAACUAAGUUUAGAAUGUAUAGUUCGACUCAUGAAGUAUUUCAAGUCCAGUGUGCACGAGAGCAACCCGAAUCUCGGCCGAAACUUCUGAUUCGAGGACAUAUUGAAUCGUAUGUUGCUGCUGUAACUUGUAAGGUUUAAUAAACCACCUCAUAUCACGUGAUUGAUUCUGUAACUGUAUAGUGUAACGCGAGGCUCUCGUUUAUAAUGGCGUGUAAAGUCUGACCUGGAAACAACCGAAAAAAAAAAGACAAAGGAUAAAUUUGUUUUGUAAAUAGACUUGUUUGUGCGUUUCUAUUUUAUUAUCACAAAUAAUUUUAUCUAUGUUUGGAACAACUGAUUAUUGAAAUAUAUUUUCACAUUUCCAGAUCAGACUUCACACAAAACGUAAGAAUGCAUUUAUCAUUAUAUACAUAAUAUUAUUAAAAGAGAAUUAUCUAAGAUUGUGUCAAUGAUUUACUGAUUUAUUUGUUACAUUACAUCGAUGUAAUUUUAAGUGAUAGGUAAUAGAAAUUAAACGAAGUUUAUUUUAUG
rnacentral:miRNA from 1 species